rnacentral:rRNA from 1 species
UACGGGGGGGGCAAGCGUUGUUCGGAAUUACUGGGCGUAAAGGGCUCGUAGGCGGCCAACUAAGUCAGACGUGAAAUCCCUCGGCUUAACCGGGGAACUGCUUCUGAUACUGGAUGGCUUGAGAUUGGGAGAGGGAUGCGGAAUUCCAGGUGUAGCGGUGAAAUGCGUAGAUAUCUGGAGGAACACCGGUGGCGAAGGCGGCAUCCUGGACCAAUACUGACACUGAGGAGCGAAAGCCAUGGGAGCAAACGGG